GUGAAUCAUCAAAUUUUUGAACGCAUAUUGCACUCUCUUGGAUUACGGAGAGUAUGCCUGUUUGAGGGUAUUUAAAAACAAUCUUUUACCAAUUUUUUUGGUCAAUGGAAAUGAGCUCUCCGCGUUUAUAGCGGUAGCUUGAAAUAAAUGGUCAAGUCUCAUUUUUGUUGAGACGCGUAAUUAUAUUAUUUCGCGAAAUAUUUAUUAUGUGUCUAUCAAGUUUUGAUGCAUACAAAUUUGGUUUGUUUGCGAUCAAUACUAAUAUUUUGAACAUUACCUAAAAUUAGGUAGGAGUACUCG
rnacentral:misc_RNA from 1 species